GAUGAACGCUGGCGGCGUGCCUAAUACAUGCAAGUCGAACGAGUUCUCGUUGAUGAUCGGUGCUUGCACCGAGAUUCAACAUGGAACGAGUGGCGGACGGGUGAGUAACACGUGGGUAACCUGCCCUUAAGUGGGGGAUAACAUUUGGAAACAGAUGCUAAUACCGCAUAGAUCCAAGAACCGCAUGGUUCUUGGCUGAAAGAUGGCGUAAGCUAUCGCUUUUGGAUGGACCCGCGGCGUAUUAGCUAGUUGGUGAGGUAAUGGCUCACCAAGGCGAUGAUACGUAGCCGAACUGAGAGGUUGAUCGGCCACAUUGGGACUGAGACACGGCCCAAACUCCUACGGGAGGCAGCAGUAGGGAAUCUUCCACAAUGGACGCAAGUCUGAUGGAGCAACGCCGCGUGAGUGAAGAAGGCUUUCGGGUCGUAAAACUCUGUUGUUGGAGAAGAAUGGUCGGCAGAGUAACUGUUGCUGGCGUGACGGUAUCCAACCAGAAAGCCACGGCUAACUACGUGCCAGCAGCCGCGGUAAUACGUAGGUGGCAAGCGUUAUCCGGAUUUAUUGGGCGUAAAGCGAGCGCAGGCGGUUUUUUAAGUCUGAUGUGAAAGCCCUCGGCUUAACCGAGGAAGCGCAUCGGAAACUGGGAAACUUGAGUGCAGAAGAGGACAGUGGAACUCCAUGUGUAGCGGUGAAAUGCGUAGAUAUAUGGAAGAACACCAGUGGCGAAGGCGGCUGUCUGGUCUGUAACUGACGCUGAGGCUCGAAAGCAUGGGUAGCGAACAGGAUUAGAUACCCUGGUAGUCCAUGCCGUAAACGAUGAAUGCUAGGUGUUGGAGGGUUUCCGCCCUUCAGUGCCGCAGCUAACGCAUUAAGCAUUCCGCCUGGGGAGUACGACCGCAAGGUUGAAACUCAAAGGAAUUGACGGGGGCCCGCACAAGCGGUGGAGCAUGUGGUUUAAUUCGAAGCAACGCGAAGAACCUUACCAGGUCUUGACAUCUUUUGAUCACCUGAGAGAUCAGGUUUCCCCUUCGGGGGCAAAAUGACAGGUGGUGCAUGGUUGUCGUCAGCUCGUGUCGUGAGAUGUUGGGUUAAGUCCCGCAACGAGCGCAACCCUUAUGACUAGUUGCCAGCAUUUAGUUGGGCACUCUAGUAAGACUGCCGGUGACAAACCGGAGGAAGGUGGGGAUGACGUCAAAUCAUCAUGCCCCUUAUGACCUGGGCUACACACGUGCUACAAUGGAUGGUACAACGAGUUGCGAGACCGCGAGGUCAAGCUAAUCUCUUAAAGCCAUUCUCAGUUCGGACUGUAGGCUGCAACUCGCCUACACGAAGUCGGAAUCGCUAGUAAUCGCGGAUCAGCACGCCGCGGUGAAUACGUUCCCGGGCCUUGUACACACCGCCCGUCACACCAUGAGAGUUUGUAACACCCGAAGCCGGUGGCGUAACCCUUUUAGGGAGCGAGCCGUCUAAGGUGGGACAAAUGAUUAGGGUG
rnacentral:rRNA from 1 species